GCUUCCCUCUUCCCUCCUGCUUAACACAUGCAAGUCUACUUGAACUUCGGUUUGGGUGGCGGACGGGUGAGUCACGCGUAAAGAACUUGCCUCACAGAUAGGGACAACAUUUGGAAACGAAUGCUAAUACCUGAUAUUAUGAUUUUAGGGCAUCCUAGAAUUAUGAAAGCUAUAUGCACUGUGAGAGAGCUUUGCGUCCCAUUAGCUAGUUGGAGAGGUAACGGCUCACCAAGGCGAUGAUGGGUAGCCGGCCUGAGAGGGUGAUCGGCCACAAGGGGACUGAGACACGGCCCUUACUCCUACGGGAGGCAGCAGUGGGGAAUAUUGGACAAUGGACCAAGAGUCUGAUCCAGCAAUUCUGUGUGCACGAUGAAGUUUUUCGGAAUGUAAAGUGCUUUCAGUUGGGAAGAAAAAAAUGACGGUACCAACAGAAGAAGGGACGGCUAAAUACGUG
rnacentral:rRNA from 1 species